AGCGAACGCUGGCGGCAGGCUUAACACAUGCAAGUCGAGCGGGCGUAGCAAUACGUCAGCGGCAGACGGGUGAGUAACGCGUGGGAACAUACCUUUUGGUUCGGAACAACUGAGGGAAACUUCAGCUAAUACCGGAUAAGCCCUUACGGGGAAAGAUUUAUCGCCGAAAGAUUGGCCCGCGUCUGAUUAGCUUGUUGGUGAGGUAACGGCUCACCAAGGCGACGAUCAGUAGCUGGUCNGAGAGGAUGAUCAGCCACAUUGGGACUGAGACACGGCCCAAACUCCUACGGGAGGCAGCAGUGGGGAAUAUUGGACAAUGGGCGCAAGCCUGAUCCAGCCAUGCCGCGUGAGUGAUGAAGGCCCUAGGGUUGUAAAGCACUUUCAGUAGGGAAGAAAAGACCGAGUGCUAAUAUCACUCGUCUUG
rnacentral:rRNA from 1 species